rnacentral:miRNA from 1 species
CAGCAACAGCAGCAACAA